rnacentral:lncRNA from 1 species
GUUUGUCUUUUGCUCAUUUAUUGUCCUACUUUAUGACAAUAGUCUGAGUGUUGAUUUUCAUUUGUAUACGUGUGGUUUUGCAAUGUUGCAUGCCCACCGAUGUCCAGAUAUUGUGCGAGAAAAUGUUUUAAGAAUAUACAAGACACAGAAAAAAAUGGUCGUUUCUGCAUGGAGAAUUGAAUUUGAUAUCAAAGAAUUCACAACUGGC